UACAGAGGUCCCAAGCGUUGUUCGGAUUCAUUGGGCGUAAAGGGUGCGUAGGCGGCGCGGUAAGUCGGGUGUGAAAUCUCGGGGCUUAACUCCGAAACUGCAUUCGAUACUGCGGUGCUUGAGGACUGGAGAGGAGACUGGAAUUUACGGUGUAGCGGUGAAAUGCGUAGAUAUCGUAAGGAAGACCAGUGGCGAAGGCGGGUCUCUGGACAGUUCCUGACGCUGAGGCACGAAGGCCAGGGGAGCAAACGGG
rnacentral:rRNA from 1 species